rnacentral:tRNA from 1 species
GACUUGGUAGCUCAGCUGGCAGAGCAUCUCCCUUUUAAGGAGAGGGUCCUGGGUUCGAACCCCAGCCAAGUCACAA